rnacentral:rRNA from 1 species
AGAGUUUGAUCAUGGCUCAGGACGAACGCUGGCGGCGUGCUUAACACAUGCAAGUGGAGCGACGAACCAGGCUUCGGCCUGGGGCAAAGCCGCGAACGGGUGAGUAUCACGUGGGUAACCUGCCCCGAUGACCGGGACAACCCGAGGAAACUCGGGCUAAUACCGGAUGCGCUCGCCACACAUCAGUGUGGUGAGGAAAGGAAGCUUCGGCCUCCGCAUCGGGAGGGGCCCGCGGCCCAUUAGCUUGUUGGUGAGGUAACGGCUCACCAAGGCUCCGAUGGGUAGCUGGUCUGAGAGGACGAUCAGCCACACUGGGACUGAGACACGGCCCAGACUCCUACGGGAGGCAGCAGUGGGGAAUCUUGCGCAAUGCGCGAAAGCGUGACGCAGCAACGCCGCGUGGAGGAUGAAGACCUUCGGGUCGUAAACUCCUUUCGAUCGAGACGAAUGGCCUCCGGGUGAACAAUCCGGAGGAGUGACGGUACCGAGAGAAGAAGCCCCGGCUAACUCCGUGCCAGCAGCGGCGGUAAUUC